rnacentral:lncRNA from 1 species
AUCCACUAGACAAGCGAAAGCACCGCUACUCUCUCAAACCCAGGUGUAUAUGUUUCAUAUGAGAUUAGAAUAUCCCUCAAGGCGAUUCAUGAGAAAUCCACAAAUGAUCUUUUCUGAUCCCUGGUUAAUAUUAAUGAAUCCUCUAUACAAGCUUGUCAGAGUUUUGUUGCAAAAUUCCUCAGGGUAAUAGGUAUUUCACUUGAUUCCAAACAAAGGUGGGCAUAGAUCACAGAUUUAACAAACUUGUGAGUUGUUUGGAACCUGCGAGUGUGAGGGUAACAUUUCAUAGCUACGUGCCCAUAAACCAGUUGGAUAUCUCACCCAAACGUUUCGAGAUAGCGACAUAAAAUCACUGAAAAACGACAUUGUCGACGAGGGUUUCAUUGUAUAGAACAUUGUCAAGCAUUUGCAGAGACAUGCUCUUUGUUUACAAGGUGUGUACUAUUUUCCUGGAAGUUGUGGAAUAUAUUCCUUGAUGUGCACUAGUAAAUACUACCGACAAAAUAAGCAGAUAAUCUGCUUCGACUUUAACAUAUGAAGGGAAGCAGGGUAAGUUUAAUUUUCUUCUGUGAACUUUUAUUCGUACAGUCGCAGAGCAAGGUCUGCACAGAAUAACAGAUUCUAUAUUUAUUUAUCUCCUUAGACGCAAUUUUUCUUUCAUGUUCGACUGCAUUCGACAUAUUCGUUAUUGAGUCAUUCCUGUCGUUAAUUAUUGUAACUGAAACCAUCACAUCGUCUCCUGUGUUAGAUUACUAAAGACGACAUGGCGUCAAGAAACUCUGCUGCAGAAAGCAACCAACGUGGCUUUGGAACAAUUUUGCACUCAAACUCCAGUGCUUGGAAUAUGGAUUAGACAGUCCCGAGGCAACAAAAUGGUCAGAUCGUUUCAUAUGACACCAGCAUACAAACAUACAAACUUUACCCGUGGGUUAAUACUAAAAUGUUGUGAUUGCUCCUAAGAACUGCCAUAACUCUCGUUUCACCAACUGCCCCAGGGCUACGAUUGCUGGGCUUAUGAUACAUGAUUAUUGCUAUGUGAUGUAUUUUGCCUAAUUACGAAGCGGAUUAGGUUACACUUUGAUAGUCAUAAUCAUAUCAGAAAGAGAAAAGGUAACACGAAUCUGUUGGUUUCUGUAGACGUUCCAAAUUUGAACUAAGCAAAUUUGAACUCAGCAAAUUUAGAGCAAAUAUCUCUUCCCACAUUUAAGCUUCUUUGUUGACA